AGGGUAAAUGUUCAAGAAACUCUUCUCCAAAUCCAAAUUCCACUUGGAUUCCACUUCGGGAGGAAAGUCCAUGUGAAGACACAGUGAGAAGGCAAGAAGGCAUCCAUCUGCAAGUCAGGAAAAGAGCCCUCAUCAGAAACCAAAUGUUGUGAGAACUUGAUCUUGGACUUCCCAGCCUCCAGAACUGUCUCACAUGAAGGAAGAUGUUCACCCUGAGGACAAGGCCCCUGCAUGCAUUCUCAGGACGUUCAUGUUUUCUUUACCCAUUCCCUUCCAUUCAAAUGUAAGUAAAUAAGAGACAAAUUUUUUUAUAGGUAUGAAUUUGAAUCAGCUCUAAUUUAU
rnacentral:lncRNA from 1 species